UAUAAAUAUCAAAGUGGCAUUAUAAAUAGCAAAAUAACAUCUCAAGAGCAUCAAAUGUUCAAAGGAUGCAGUUCAAAUGAAAAUAUUCAAUUAUAAUCCUCAUUCCUAGAAAUACCUCCACAUAAGGCGCAAAUAACUGAUAUUUCAAAAAAUAAGAGAAUUCCUUUUUACAUGUCCAGAAAAUAAAAACACAAAACUGAUGCCAGAAUUUAGCUACCACUGAAUGACAUGAAAUUGCGUUUCUCACUCUACAAACUCCUCGAUGCAGCUACAAGAAGACGAACUUCUUCAAAUCAACUGUUCUUCGCCUGAAAUUGUGGUUGAGCUCGACU
rnacentral:lncRNA from 1 species